ACGCCGCUCAGAAACUUAAAGGAAUUGACGGGGCCCGCACAAGCGGUGGAGUAUGUGGUUUAAUUCGAUGCAACGCGAAGAACCUUACCUGGUCUUGACAUCCCGGAGACCCUUAGGAAACUAGGGGUGCUUCCAUCUGGAAGAAUCUGGAGACAGGUGCUGCAUGGCUGUCGUCAGCUCGUGUCGUGAGAUGUUGGGUUAAGUCCCGCAACGAGCGCAACCCUUGCCUUUAGUUGCCAGCAGUUCGGCUGGGCACUCUAAAGGGACUGCCGGUGUUAAACCGGAGGAAGGUGGGGAUGACGUCAAGUCCUCAUGGCCUUUAUGACCAGGGCUACACACGUACUACAAUGGCCGAUACAAAGGGCAGCGACACUGCGAGGUGAAGCCAAUCCCGUAAAAUCGGUCUCAGUCCGGAUUGGAGUCUGCAACUCGACUCCAUGAAGUUGGAAUCGCUAGUAAUCGUGGAUCAGCAUGCCACGGUGAAUACGUUCCCGGGCCUU
rnacentral:rRNA from 1 species